rnacentral:rRNA from 1 species
GAUGAACGCUGGCGGCGUGCCUAAUACAUGCAAGUCGAGCGAACAGACGAGGAGCUUGCUCCUCUGACGUUAGCGGCGGACGGGUGAGUAACACGUGGAUAACCUACCUAUAAGACUGGGAUAACUUCGGGAAACCGGAGCUAAUACCGGAUAAUAUAUUGAACCGCAUGGUUCAAUAGUGAAAGACGGUUUUGCUGUCACUUAUAGAUGGAUCCGCGCCGCAUUAGCUAGUUGGUAAGGUAACGGCUUACCAAGGCAACGAUGCGUAGCCGACCUGAGAGGGUGAUCGGCCACACGGGAAUUGAGACACGGUCCAGAACCCUACGGGGGGCAGGAGUAGGGAAUCUUCCGGAAGGGGCGAAAGCCUGAGGGAGCAACGCCGCGGGAGGGAUGAAGGUCUUCGGAUCGUAAAACUCUGUUAUUAGGGAAGAACAAAUGUGUAAGUAACAAUGCCCGUCUGGACGGUACCGAAACAGAAAGCCCCGGCUAACUAGGU